GACGAACGCUGGCGGCGUGCUUAACACAUGCAAGUCGAACGGAAAGGCCCUGCUUUUGUGGGGUGCUCGAGUGGCGAACGGGUGAGUAACACGUGAGUAACCUGCCCUUGACUUUGGGAUAACUUCAGGAAACUGGGGCUAAUACCGGAUAGGAGCUCCUGCUGCAUGGUGGGGGUUGGAAAGUUUCGGCGGUUGGGGAUGGACUCGCGGCUUAUCAUCUUGUUGGUGGGGUAGUGGCUUACCAAGGCUUUGACGGGUAGCCGGCCUGAGAGGGUGACCGGCCACAUUGGGCCUGGGAUACGGCCCAGACUCCUACGGGAGGCAGAAGUGGGGAAUAGUGCACAAUGGGCGGAAGCCUGAUGCAGCAACGCCGCGUGCGGGAUGACGGCCUUCGGGUUGUAAACCGCUUUCGCCUGUGACGAAGCGUGAGUGACGGUAAUGGGUAAAGAAGCACCGGCUAACUACGUG
rnacentral:rRNA from 1 species